GUAGGUAAGUGACCUGGCUAUCCUGUAAAUUGGGAGGAAAGUCCACACACUAUUAAUCGAUUGCUUAUUCAAGCCGGAGAAAUCCGGGGCAACCGCUCAGAAACGGCACGUCCUUACAUUGCUAUAACCGAUGAUGUUGCGAAGCUUUUGGCGACAGAAGUGAGUUAACCAGCUGAGAAGAUGUAAGGGAACGAUGAAACGGCGCGUCCCUGUCAGUGCAAGUCCAUUGAGACGCUUAGUUGAAUGCUGGGAAGUCUGUUCGCAAAACGAAGACUUAACAAAAUGUGGCUUACACUUGCCUAC
rnacentral:RNase_P_RNA from 1 species